UACUAGGGCAGUCCAGCGUUGUUCGGAUUCAUUGGGCGUAAAGGGUGCGUAGGCGGCGCGGUAAGUCGGGUGUGAAAUCUCGGGGCUUAACUCCGAAACUGCAUUCGAUACUGCCGUGCUUGAGGACUGGAGAGGAGACUGGAAUUUACGGUGUAGCGGUGAAAUGCGUAGAUAUCGUAAGGAAGACCAGUGGCGAAGGCGGGUCUCUGGACAGUUCCUGACGCUGAGGCACGAAGGCCAGGGGAGCAAACGGG
rnacentral:rRNA from 1 species